GACAUCCAAUGAACUUUCCAGAGAUGGAUUGGUGCCUUCGGGAACAUUGAGACAGGUGCUGCAUGGCUGUCGUCAGCUUGUGUCGUGAGAUGUUGGGUUAAGUCCCGUAACGAGCGCAACCCUUGUCCUUAGUUACCAGCACGUAAUGGUGGGCACUCUAAGGAGACUGCCGGUGACAAACCGGAGGAAGGUGGGGAUGACGUCAAGUCAUCAUGGCCCUUACGGCCUGGGCUACACACGUGCUACAAUGGUCGGUACAAAGGGUUGCCAAGCCGCGAGGUGGAGCUAAUCCCAUAAAACCGAUUGUAGUCCGGAUCGCAGUCUGCAACUUGACUGCGUGAAGUCGGAAUCGCUAGUAAUCGCGAAUCAGAAUGUCGCGGUGAAUACGUUCCCGGGCCUUGUACACACCGCCCGUCACACCAUGGGAGUGGGUUGCACCAGAAGUAGCUAGUCUAACCUUCGGGAGGACGGUA
rnacentral:rRNA from 1 species